rnacentral:rRNA from 1 species
AGCGAACGCUGGCGGCAGGCUUAACACAUGCAAGUCGAACGGGCUUCUUCGGAAGUCAGUGGCAGACGGGUGAGUAACACGUGGGAACGUGCCCUUCGGUUCGGAAUAACUCAGGGAAACUUGAGCUAAUACCGGAUACGCCCUUUUGGGGAAAGGUUUACUGCCGAAGGAUCGGCCCGCGUCUGAUUAGCUUGUUGGUGGGGUAACGGCCUACCAAGGCGACGAUCAGUAGCUGGUCUGAGAGGAUGAUCAGCCACACUGGGACUGAGACACGGCCCGGAAUACUACGGGAGGCAGGAGUGGGGAAUAUAGGAAAAUGGGGGCAAGCAUGAUCGAGCCCUGCUGCGUGAGUGAUGAAGGCCGUAGGGUUGUAAAGCUCUUUUGUCCGGGACGAUAAUGACGGUACCGGAAGAAUAAGCCCCGGCUAACUUCGUG